rnacentral:rRNA from 1 species
CGGAGGAUCCAAGCGUUAUCCGGAAUCAUUGGGUUUAAAGGGUCCGUAGGCGGGUUUAUAAGUCAGUGGUGAAAGCCCAUCGCUCAACGAUGGAACGGCCAUUGAUACUGUAGAUCUUGAAUUAUUAGGAAGUAACUAGAAUAUGUAGUGUAGCGGUGAAAUGCUUAGAGAUUACAUGGAAUACCAAUUGCGAAGGCAGGUUACUACUAAUGGAUUGACGCUGAUGGACGAAAGCGUGGGUAGCGAACAGGAUUAGAUACCCUGGUAGUCCACGCCGUAAACGAUGGAUACUAGCUGUUCGGAGCAAUCUGAGUGGCUAAGCGAAAGUGAUAAGUAUCCCACCUGGGGAGUACGUUCCCAAGAAUG